ensembl:snRNA U6 U6 spliceosomal RNA
GUUCUUAUAUCAGUAGCACAUACACAAAAAUUAGAAAAAUACAGCAAUUAGCAUGGUUCUUCUGCAAGGAUGACAUGAGUUCAUGAAGUAUUCCACAUAUUU